UCCGUAGGUGAACCUGCGGAGGGAUCAUUACAGAGUUCAUGCCCUCCGGGUGGAUCUCCCACCCAUUGCUAUAACUACUCUCGUUGCUUUGGCGGGCCGCCGGCCCCGGCUGGCGCGUGCCCGCCAGAGACCUCACAGACUCUGAAUGUUAGUGUCGUCCGAGUAACUAUACAACCGUUAAAACUUUCAACAACGGAUCUCUUGGUUCUGGCAUCGAUGAAGAACGCAGCGAAAUGCGAUAAGUAAUGCGAAUUGCAGAAUUCAGUGAGUCAUCGAAUCUUUGAACGCACAUUGCACCCUGUGGUAUUCCGCAGGGCAUGCCUGUUCGAGCGUCAUUUCAACCCUCAAGCCUCGCUUGGUGUUGGGCCCUGCCCGCCGCGGCCGGCCCUAAAGAUAGUGGCGGCGCCGCCUGGCCCUCAGCGUAGUACAGCUCUCGCUCCAGGGUCCGGCGGCAGCCUGCCAGAACCCCCCAACUCUGUGGUUGACCUCGGAUCAGGUAGGGAUACCCGCUGAACUUAAGCAUAUC
rnacentral:rRNA from 1 species